rnacentral:rRNA from 1 species
AGAGUUUGAUCAUGGCUCAGAAUCAACGCUGGCGGCGUGCCUAACACAUGCAAGUCGCACGAGAAAGGGGCUUCGGUCCUGAGUAAAGUGGCGCACGGGUGAGUAACACGUGAAUGAUCUACCUCCGAGUGGGGAAUAACUGAGAGAAAUCUUAGCUAAUACCGCAUAACACUUACGAGUCAAAGCAGCAAUGUGCUUGGAGAGGAGUUCGCGGCCGAUUAGUUAGUUGGCGGGGUAAUGGCCCACCAAGACGAUGAUCGGUAUCCGGCCUGAGAGGGCGCACGGACACACUGGAACUGAAACACGGUCCAGACUCCUACGGGAGGCAGCAGUGGGGAAUUUUGCGCAAUGGGGGAAACCCUGACGCAGCAACGCCGCGUGGAGGAUGAAGUAUCUUGGUACGUAAACUCCUUUCGAUGGGGAAGAUAAUGACGGUACCCAUAGAAGAAGCCCCGGCUAACUUCGUGCCAGCAGCCGCGGUAAUACGAGGGGGGCAAGCGUUGUUCGGAAUUAUUGGGCGUAAAGGGUGCGUAGGCGGUUUGAUAAGUCUGAUGUGAAAUCUCUGGGCUCAACCCAGAGUCUGCAUUAGAAACUGUCGGGCUUGAGUAUGGGAGAGGUGAGUGGAAUUUCCGGUGUAGCGGUGAAAUGCGUAGAUAUCGGAAGGAACACCUGUGGCGAAAGCGGCUCACUGGACCAUAACUGACGCUGAGGCACGAAAGCUAGGGGAGCAAACAGGAUUAGAUACCCUAGUAGUCC